AGAAGAAAAAAAUUAUCGAAUGGGUUUCAGUCGAGGGGCUAUGCAUAAAAAAUUGAUGUGGCAAAAUACGUAUUCGGUAAUAAGUCACGAAAAAUAUGGAAACGAAGGUAUAGUAUGAACAUAUACUUUUUUAAAUUUCCAUAAAAUUCUUUUAUUUGCAAUUUUUAAUAAUAGAAUACAAUCCAACGUUCUCCUCCAGUUGCCCUGUUAAUACACAUAUUUUUUAAAAUCUUACCAUUUUAUCAUCACCUCAACCCUGUUAGAGAUCAAACUAAAGUCUCAUUUAAAAAAAUUAAUCUACAUACGAGUUACUUAUAUAUUAUAGGUCACGAAUAACCAUAAUAAAUUUAACUAUGUUUUACUCAAACUCUGUUGCAAAUUAAUUUACGUUUACCAUCAUAUUGAGCAAUAAUGCUUAUAUUAGACAUUUCGAUAAAAGUAUUACAUUAAUUUCUUAGGAUUAAUUGGCUUAAAAAAUUGUAUUGAAAUUUAAUUUAUGUUAUCAAAAUAUUGUGUCGCCAUAAAAUAAAAAAAAAAGAUUAAAUUUGAAAAAUAAUAAUUUGUUUGUUAUUUACAGAAGAAAAUAAUUAUCGAAUGGUUUUCAGUGGAGGGGCUAUGCAUAGAAAAUUUAAGUUGCAAAAUACGUAUUUGGUAAUUAGUCAACUAGAAUAAAGAAACGAAGGUAUAGUAUGAGCAUAAACUUUUUCAACUUGCCAUAAAAUUCUUUUAUUUGCAAUUUUAAAUAUUAGAAUACAAUCCAACAUUCUCCUCCAAUUGCCUGUUAACACACAUAUUUUUAUAAUUCUUACGAUUUUAUCAUCACCUCAAGCCUGGUUUAGAUCAAACUAAAGUCUCACAUCAAAAACUUUAUCUACACACGAGUUACUUAUAUAUAAUUCGACUUGGCCAACCAUACUAAAUCAAACUAUGUAUAACUCAAAUUCUGUUGCAAAUUAAUUUACAUUUAACAUCAUAUUGAGCAAUAAUGCCUAUAAUAAACAAAUCAAAAAAAUAAUUGCAAUAAUUUCUUAAAAUUAAUUAGCUAAAAAAGUUGUAUUGAAAUUUAAUAAGUGUAAUCCAAAUAUUGUGUCGCCAUAAAAUAAAAAAAAAAAGAUUAAAUUUGAAAAAUAAUAAUUUGUCUGUUUUUUACAGAAGAAAAAAAUUAUCGAAUGGGUUUCAGUGGAGGGGCUAUGCAUAGAAAAUCGAAGUGGCAAAAUACGUAUUUGGUAAUAAGUCACGAAGAAUAAGGAAACGAAGGUAUUGUAUGAGCAUAUACUUUUUUAAAUUUCCAUAAAAUUCUUUUAUUUGCCAUUUUUAAUAAUAGAAUACAAUCCAACGUUCUCCUCCAGUUGCACUGUUAAUACACAUAUUUUUAAAAUUUAUACCAUUUUAUCAUCACCUCAACCCUGUUUGAGAUCAAACUAAAGUCUCAUAUGAAAAACCUUAUCUACACACGAGUUACUUAUAUAUUAUCCGUCUUGGCCAACCAUAAUAAAUUUAACUAUGUAUAACUCAAAUUCUGUUGCAAAUUAAUUUACAAUAAAUAUAAAAUGUUGAUACAUAAUUAAUUUUUUUUUUAGAUAAAUAUUGUAAUGACCUACUGUUGAAAUUUGGUCAACGUGCCAUUUCCGAGGAUCACGUCAUUGGUUCAUCACCCCUGAAUUAUUUUUUAGAUAACCAAUGUCCAUUGCAAGCAUCCUCAGGUUUUAUACAUCAUGUCAUAUAAAAUUAUUGUAAAAUUGUAGGUUUCUACAAAUAUUUUUUUUAUUUAUAUUACAAUUAAAACCCA
rnacentral:lncRNA from 1 species